rnacentral:rRNA from 1 species
AUACAGAGGGUGCAAGCGUUAAUCGGAUUUACUGGGCGUAACGCGCGCGUAGGUGGCUAAUUAAGUCAAAUGUGAAAUCCCCAAGCUUAACUUGGGAAUUGCAUUCGAUACUGGUUAGCUAGAGUAUGGGAGAGGAUGGUAGAAUUCCAGGUGUAGCGGUGAAAUGCGUAGAGAUCUGGAGGAAUACCGAUGGCGAAGGCAGCCAUCUGGCCUAAUACUGACACUGAGGUGCGAAAGCAUGGGGAGCAAACAGGAUUAGAUACCCUGGUAGUCCAUGCCGUAAACGAUGUCUACUAGCCGUUGGGGCCCUUGAGGCUUUAGUGGCGCAGCUAACGCGAUAAGUAGACCGCCUGGGGAGUACGGUCGCAAGACUAAAACUCAAAUGAAUCGACGGGG